UGCCCUGAACUUCCUGCAGCACCCACCAUAGAAUAACCCACCAACUCCAUAGGAAACCUCGCUUAUGCACCCAGAUCUGGUCUGUGAUUUGCUACAGAAAGACAAGAAAUGGCCUGUGGCUUCUUGCUAGCCUGCACUACCAGGCAAUUACUUUUCAGGAGUGGUGGGAAGCCAAACAAAUUCUGAACAUCCUUAUCUGGAACCUGUUUCAUGCAGAGAAGGCCUGCUUGUAAACACAACAGGACGUACAAGCUGAUGAGGAGAAGGCUAUCUUUUUGAACGUUGCCCCUGGGGGACUGGGAGGUCUGCUAGCCCUGGCUCCUCGGGCAAGACCACAACCCUCUAACUGGGCCUCACUUUCUGCUUUGGCUGAGCUGGGAACGGCCAGCAAGGGAGGAGUCGCGGGUGAGGGAGCACAUUGGCCUCCACCUUGGCAAUGCUGCUGUCCCCAAGGGAAAUGUUCCAGGGAAUGUCCUCAGCACCACAGAGAACUGAAAUCCUGGAGAAAACUGGCCUAAGGAGCUCAGAAAGGCCAAUAAAACUGGGGCAUUUGGGGAAGAAGAGGAAAUGGAAUGGCAUUAUUGGAUGAUUUAAAUGUGGUGUGUUGCUAUGGUUCCCAGCCUUCUUGAAAGUCACAGACAUGGUGUAUGGGCUGAAUUGUGUCUUCCCAAAACUCACAUGUUGAGUACAGUACUACAAAAUAUAUUUGAAGAGAUUUGAGUUACAGCACUACACAUUUGAGUUACAGUACUACAAAAUGUAUUUGAAGACGGAGCCUUUGAAGGGGUAAUUGAGUUAAAAUGAGGUCAUAAGGUGGUCCCUAAUCCAAGGCGAUUGGUGUCCUUAUAAAGAGAGAAGAUACCAUAGAAGGAAGACCCUGCGAAGAUAAAGGGAAGAGACAACCAUCUGCAAGCAGAGGAGAGAGGCUUCAAAAGAAACCAACUCUGCCAGCACCUUGAUCUUGGACUUCUAACAUCUAGAACCAUGAGAAAAUAAAUUUCUGCUGUUUAAGCCA
rnacentral:lncRNA from 1 species